GAUCCACCCAUCUUGGCCUCCCAAUGUGCAGGGAUUACAGGCAUAAGCCACAGAGCCCGGCCUACAUAUUGCUUAUUAUUCAUACUUAAAAGCGCAUGCCUGGGAAUCGGGGGCUGGAGAGGGCUGAAGGCUCCCCAAGCCACCUUCCCAAAUCCUACGUCUCAUCUGUGCCAUGAAAGGGGCAGGUUAGAUGUCAGCGUUUCCCACACUAGCCUGAGUGUAAGCAUCCACUGAGGGAACUUCCAAAUAAUACAGACUCCCAGAUCACGCUGAUUCCAGGAGGUCUGGGACGGGUGCAAGGAAUUUCAAGAAGUAACAUCAAGUUAUUCUUAUGCUCAGAGAAGGCUAAUAAAUUUGGGGCGAGGCCAAAAGGCGUUGGAAGCCAGUAGUUUGAAAGAAAAAUAGCUUUCCAAAGGCUUUCGCUUUGUAAAAACUAAAUGGUGCCUUUUGGAAUACAAUGUGAACAUAACUUUUCCAAGGAUUUAAGGUGUUGAUGAGAAAGACAUUCUGAGACCUGCCAGCAGAUGGAGCCAUAAAACAAGAAAUAGAUGUUUACAGCCUCAACUCGGGAGAAAAAUACCGUGAAUGCACCUUACACUAUAGAAGUAACACUUUUCCCUCUGCUUUAUUUUCUCUAUAUGCUAAACUCCUUACUUGCCUCUGCUAAAGAACAUCGCUGGAGUGUCUUGGUGUGUGAAGUAUGAAAUAGUUUCUAAAGACAUAAGUUGUGAUAUAGCAAGACAGAGGCAAAACCCCUCAUUCUUCUGAGAGUGUAAACAUCAUGUCGCAAGAAGCUCACCUAAAAUUUGAAAAGGAAAACUCAACGAAAAUUUGAAAAGAAAUUCAAGGAAAAAAAAAUGUGACCUUUAAAAUUUCCAUGUUGACAGCACCACCAGGACCCCUUCUGGGAUCCGUUGCUAGGUAUAACUUCGUGCCUGACUCUGGAAGUUAAAAAAUGAAUAGUUACAGAUUCUUUUUCCGGGAGCCGCCUCUAGAGGGGUGUACCCACCAGGGAAGGUGAGCAGAGUGCCACCAAUCCUGUGGGUGCUCAGCGGGAGGUUGCUGAGGGAUGCUUCGUGACUCAACGCUGCUGAAGCCCUGAAGGCUGAUUUGGGUUUGCAGGGAACAGGAGGAUCGGCAUGGCGGAGCACGUUGGUCUGAGCACAUGUGAGGUGUUUAGAAAACUGCAAGUCAUCCAGCACGGGAGCAACGCCAGGCACAGGCAGGGGAGUCGUAGGGGAUGAUGCUGCAGAAGGGACAGACCGGGUUCUAGAAGUUGGCGAGCAAGGAAAUGUGAGCAUCUGGACUGCCGAACGCACCCUGUUAAGUGCUACUCAUGUCGUUCUGAUUGGGCUGAAUUGAAGAGCUGCCCAGCCUCUCCCCUGGCCCUGAGACCCCUGACCUAGAGGGACUAACUAGAGGGACGGCAUGGCAAUGGCAAGUGUACCCAAGACAGCAUGCCCGGAGGUUUAUCCAGGAAUAUUCAUCCAGAGGGAAAGAGCAAUGGACGAUGAGCAUGUUGGACCAGAUGGGCACGUGUCCAAGUGCACCCUAUGGAAUGUAUCAGCAUCGGCCUCGCCUGGAAGCCUGAUAGAAAUGCAGAUUCCCAGGCCCUGCCCAGGCCUGCUGUAUCCGGAUCUCUUGGUGGUGGAGCCCAGGGAUCUGCAUGUCACGAGCUUGCUCAGAGUAUCUGUGAACUGAGUUCAAUCCACAGCCCUCUACUCCAAUGCUAGCCAGACCCUGGGGCCAUUGCCUCUCCCCCCACAUGCCCCUCCAUACUGUCAGCACCUCUGCAUUGUGGCCUUUCUGCCACCCCCAACCGACUUGGGGAUCCCAACCACCCACACCCAGGGGCCUGCACCAGACUGCAGAGUGUUGCCUGAGGGGACACAGUCCACAGUCAUCCUUUUCUCCUCUCCUUCCCAGUUAAUUCCAUUUUCCACGCCUCUCAUGGCGAUUCCUGAUCUUCACAGGCCCCAGAGCCUCUGACCCUGGUGUUCCCCCUGAGAAAAUGAGGCCAGGGUUUGUGAGCUGCCCAUGCCACACCUGUGCCUGCCUCAUCAUGUGGAGUCCCUUUAGCUCAGCUCUAGGGUCCCCCUUCUUGCUUCCUCAAAGAUCCUCCUCUCUCCCAAGUUCCUCUUCUUCUUCUCAAUACUUCUCUCUUCUGGGGCUUCCUCCUUGACACGUCAAUGUUGUCUAGCUGUCUUCAUCAAUUUUCUUUAUUAUUUUAUUUGUAUAUAUUGUAUUUUAUUUUAAGACAGAGUCUUGCUGUGUCAGCCAGCCUGGAGUUCAGUGGUGCAGUCAUAGCUCACUGCAGCCGCGACCUCCUGGGCUCCUGUCUCUUGAGUAGCUGGGACAACAGGCAUGGGCUACUACAGCUGGCUAAUAUUUUCUUUUUACUUUUUAAGAGACAGGGUCUUACUAGUCAUCCUCGUCUUUAAGAACGAAGCAAAACAAGGGUCUCGAAGAGAUAUUUGUACCCACUGUUCAUAGCAGCAUUGUUAAAGAGUUAAUAUGUGGACCCAACCCAAGUGUGUUUCCAUUGAUGAAUAAUGAGCAGAACGGGGUCAUCCGUGCAGUGGGUAUUACCAGCCUUAGAAAGGACGGGAAUCCCGACGCACCCUGCAACAUGGAUGAACCUAGAGGACAUUAAGCUCAGCGAAGUAAGCCAGUGACGAACAGACAAAUAUCAUUCCACUUCUAAGAGGCACUUAGUGUUGUCAAAGUCAAGGACAGACAGUAAAGCAGGGUUGCUG